rnacentral:rRNA from 1 species
GACGAACGCUGGUGGCGUGCUUAACACAUGCAAGUCGAACGAAGAGCGAUGGAAGCUUGCUUCUAUCAAUCUUAGUGGCGAACGGGUGAGUAACGCGUAAUCAACCUGCCCUUCAGAGGGGGACAACAGUUGGAAACGACUGCUAAUACCGCAUACGAUCUAAUCUCGGCAUCGAGGAUAGAUGAAAGGUGGCCUCUACAUGUAAGCUAUCACUGAAGGAGGGGAUUGCGUCUGAUUAGCUAGUUGGAGGGGUAACGGCCCACCAAGGCGAUGAUCAGUAGCCGGUCUGAGAGGAUGAACGGCCACAUUGGGACUGAGACACGGCCCAGACUCCUACGGGAGGCAGCAGUGGGGAAUCUUCCGCAAUGGACGAAAGUCUGACGGAGCAACGCCGCGUGAGCGAUGACGGCCUUCGGGUUGUAAAGCUCUGUUAAUCGGGACGAAAGGCCUUCUUGCGAAUAGUGAGAAGGAUUGACGGUACCGGAAUAGAAAGCCACGGCUAACUACGUG